rnacentral:rRNA from 1 species
CACGUAGGGAGCAAGCGUUGUCCGGAUUUAUUGGGCGUAAAGAGCUCGUAGGCUGUUCGAUAAGUCGGGUGUGAAACCUCCAGGCUCAACCUGGAGACGCCACCCGAUACUGUCAUGACUAGAGUCCGGUAGGGGAGCGUGGAAUUCCUGGUGUAGCGGUGAAAUGCGCAGAUAUCAGGAGGAACACCGGUGGCGAAGGCGGGUCUCUGGGCAGUAACUGACGCUGAGGAGCGAAAGCGUGGGGAGCGAACAGG